AGACCCCACGAGAAUCGCACUGUCUCCUCUCUUCAAUCAGUGAAAUUAAUCCUCUCGUGCAAAAGCGAGCAUCACCUUAUAAGACGAAAAGACCCUGUGGAGCUUAAAACAUCAAACACCUAUUUAAAUUAUCUACUACCCACACACUUAUAAUAGCAUGAUUAAAAGUUUUUGGUUGGGGUGACCGUGGAGAAAAACCUAACCUCCAAGAUGAAUUAGAACUUUCCUUAAUUUAGAGCCACAACUCUUUACAUUAGUACACUAACACAAAUUGACCCUUCUUGAUCAACGAACCAAGUUACCCCAGGGAUAACAGCGCAAUCUACUUUGAGAGCACAUAUCGACAGGUAGG
rnacentral:rRNA from 1 species